CGAACGGGUGAGUAAUACAUCGGAACGUGUCGAGAAGAGGGGGAUAACCACCCGAAAGGGUGGCUAAUACCGCAUAAAUUCUGAGGAAGAAAGCUGGGGACCUAGGAAUAGGCCUAGCGCUUUUUGAGCGGCCGAUGUCUGAUUAGCUAGUUGGUGAGGUAAAGGCUCACCAAGGCGAAGAUCUGUAGCGGGUCUGAGAGGAUGAUCCGCCACACUUGGACUGAGACACGGCCCAG
rnacentral:rRNA from 1 species